AGGGAAUCUUCCGCAAUGGACGAAAGUCUGACGGAGCAACGCCGCGUGAGUGAUGAAGGCCUUCGGGUCGUAAAACUCUGUUGUUAGGGAAGAACAAGUAUCGUUCGAAUAGGGCGGUACCUUGACGGUACCUAACCAGAAAGCCACGGCUAACUACGUGCCAGCAGCCGCGGUAAUACGUAGGUGGCAAGCGUUGUCCGGAAUUAUUGGGCGUAAAGCGCGCGCAGGCGGUCCUGUAAGUCUGAUGUGAAAGCCCACGGCUCAACCGUGGAGGGUCAUUGGAAACUGGGGGACUUGAGUGCAGAAGAGGAAAGCGGAAUUCCACGUGUAGCGGUGAAAUGCGUAGAGAUGUGGAGGAACACCAGUGGCGAAGGCGGCUUUCUGGUCUGUAACUGACGCUGAGGCGCGAAAGCGUGGGGAGCAAAC
rnacentral:rRNA from 1 species